rnacentral:rRNA from 1 species
UACGUAGGUGGCAAGCGUUGUCCGGAUUUAUUGGGUUAAGGGUGCGUAGGCGGUCAUGUAAGUCAGUGGUGAAAUCCGGCAGCUCAACUGUCGAUGUGCCAUUGAUACUGUAUGACUUGAGUACAGACGAGGUAGGCGGAAUUGACGGUGUAGCGGUGAAAUGCUUAGAUAUCGUCAAGAACACCGAUAGCGAAGGCAGCUUACUAGACUGUAACUGACGCUGAUGCACGAAAGUGUGGGAUCAAACAGG